rnacentral:rRNA from 1 species
UGAGGAAUAUUGGUCAAUGGGCGAGAGCCUGAACCAGCCAAGUAGCGUGAAGGAUGACUGCCCUAUGGGUUGUAAACUUCUUUUAUAAAGGAAUAAAGUCGGGUAUGGAUAUCCGUUUGCAUGUACUUUAUGAAUAAGGAUCGGCUAACUCCGUGCCAGCAGCCGCGGUAAUACGGAGGAUCCGAGCGUUAUCCGGAUUUAUUGGGUUUAAAGGGAGCGUAGAUGGAUGUUUAAGUCAGUUGUGAAAGUUUGCGGCUCAACCGUAAAAUUGCAGUUGAUACUGGAUAUCUUGAGUGCAGUUGAGGCAGGCGGAAUUCGUGGUGUAGCGGUGAAAUGCUUAGAUAUCACGAAGAACUCCGAUUGCGAAGGCAGCCUGCUAAGCUGCAACUGACAUUGAGGCUCGAAAGUGUGGGUAUCAAACAGGAUUAGAUACCCUGGUAGUCCACACGGUAAACGACGAAUACUCGCUGUUUGCGAUAUACUGCAAGCGGCCAAGCGAAAGCGUUAAGUAUUCCACCUGGGGAGUACGCCGGCAACGGUGAAACUCAAAGGAAUUGACGGGGGCCCGCACAAGCGGAGGAACAUGUGGUUUAAUUCGAUGAUACGCGAGGAACCUUACCCGGGCUUAAAUUGCAGAUGAAUUACGGUGAAAGCCGUAAGCCGCAAGGCAUCUGUGAAGGUGCUGCAUGGUUGUCGUCAGCUCGUGCCGUGAGGUGUCGGCUUAAGUGCCGUAACGAGCGCAACCCUUGUUGUCAGUUACUAACAGGUUUUGCUGAGGACUCUGACAAGACUGCCAUCGUAAGAUGUGAGGAAGGUGGGGAUGACGUCAAAUCAGCACGGCCCUUACGUCCGGGGCUACACACGUGUUACAAUGGGGGGUACAGAGGGCCGCUACCACGCGAGUGGAUGCCAAUCCCCAAAACCUCUCUCAGUUCGGACUGGAGUCUGCAACCCGACUCCACGAAGCUGGAUUCGCUAGUAAUCGCGCAUCAGCCACGGCGCGGUGAAUACGUUCCC